rnacentral:rRNA from 1 species
AAGUCGUAACAAGGUUUCCGUAGGUGAACCUGCGGAAGGAUCAUUAACACGUGCUUUAACACGUAUUAACUAAACGCGAACUCGUUGUAAGCCUGUUGCUGGAUAUGUGCUGUACCAUGCGGGAAUGGUGUGACCCUCGGGUCUAACUCAUGGUCUUAUCGUACUCGAUACGAGGUUCAUUCCAGUAAUAGUAGAUGAAUUUCGGCUGCGUAUUAAACCUGCACCUUGGUUUGCAGUCCGGGGUGAAAUUAUUACCUACCCAUUAUUUAUACUUAUUCUGAUUUGUACGUUUAUACGAAUUCCUGACUUAAUUGUUGGUUGAGUUUGUAUCGAUGUCGUAUAUUACUAAUACGAAACAACUCUUAGCAACGGAUAUCUUGGUUCUCGUAACGAUGAAGAGCGCAGCGAAAUGCGAUACGUAAUGCGAAUUGCAGAAUUCAGUGAAUCAUCAAAUUCUUGAACGCAACUGGCGCCUUCAGGUUUACCUGGAGGCACGUUUCUCUCAGUGUCGGUUAUACUCUCUCCGAUUAACUACGUUUAACGACGCAGUGAAAGGGACAAUGAGUGUUAUGACGUAACAGUCAUAUCGCUUUAAAUCGAACGAGUUAAUUUCUUUAUAGUUGGUGGUUUGCGUUCGCGCAGGGCUGCCGCUGUACUCGACUCAAGUGAUGUGGGUAACUCGUCUUCGGAUGAUGCUUUACAUCGUAUACUUAGUAGUUUAUGGUUCACUAUUUAGAGGCUAGCGAAAAACUGUAGAUCAUUGACUUCGGUCAGCGUUCUCAUAUUUUGACCUGAGAUGAAGCGAGGCUACCCGCGGAAUUUA